UACAGAGGUCCCAAGCGUUGUUCGGAUUCACUGGGCGUAAAGGGCGCGUAGGUGGUGGCUUAAGCGUGCGGUGAAAGCUCGGGGCUCAACCCCGAGUCGGCCGUGCGAACUGGGCUCACUGGAGCAUAGUAGAGGCAGGUGGAAUUCCGGGUGUAGCGGUGGAAUGCGUAGAGAUCCGGAAGAACACCGGUGGCGAAGGCGGCCUGCUGGGCUAUGGCUGACACUGAGGCGCGACAGCGUGGGGAGCAAACAGG
rnacentral:rRNA from 1 species